rnacentral:tRNA from 1 species
GGGAAAGUAGCUCAGAGGAUAGAGCAACUGCCUUCUAAGCAGUGGGCCGCGGGUUCGAGUCCCGCCUUUCCCGCCA